GGGAUUCCAAGGGUGGGCGGGUGUUUCUGGUUCAGAGCCUUGGUUUGAUUGCAGCAGGCUUAAUCAUGCAAGCGGCACCCAGUACUCCGCGGCAGCUGUCCAGCGCACGGCAGUAGUGAUCUGUUUCGUGCUUGCCCCGUGUCACCGUACCUGACCUCCUUCCCCUCCCCUUGACCCCUCAGGUCAUCCUGAUGGGCCUGAUUGAGGGCUACCGCGUCAACGGCGGCCCUGCUGGCGAGGGCCUGGACCCCCUGUACCCCGGCGAGUCGUUCGACCCCCUGGGCCUGGCUGACGACCCCGACACCUUCGCUGAGCUGAAGGUGAAGGAGAUCAAGAACGGCCGCCUGGCCAUGUUCUCCAUGUUCGGCUUCUUCGUCCAGGCCAUCGUGACCGGCAAGGGCCCCGUCCAGAACCUGGACGACCACCUGGCCAACCCCACCGUCAACAACGCGUUCGCCUUCGCCACCAAGUUCACCCCCUCCGCGUAAAUGCCUCGAUAGGUGCCUCGAGAGCGAAAGAAUGGCUUACGUAAAGAUUGUGCAUAGUCCUGCAGGAGUGGAGUGG
rnacentral:lncRNA from 1 species